GUAAUCCUGCUCAGUACGAGAGGAACCGCAGGAUCAGACAUUUGGUUCAUGCGUUUGGCUGAAAGGCCAGUGACGCGAAGCUACUGUCUGAAAGAUAAUGACUGAACGCCUCUAAGUCAGAAUCUUGC
rfam:Trichuris muris Edinburgh genomic scaffold, scaffold35